rnacentral:rRNA from 1 species
AUUGAACGCUGGCGGCAGGCCUAACACAUGCAAGUCGAGCGAGCGGAGGACGGGUGAGUAAUGUCUGGGAAACUGCCUGAUGGAGGGGGAUAACUACUGGAAACGGUAGCUAAUACAGCAUCCCAUCAGAUGUGCCCAGAUGGGAUGUGCGAGUAGGUUGGGGAACGGCUCACCUAGGCGACGAUCACUAGCUGGUCUGAGAGGAUGAACAGCCAACAUGGAACUGAGACACGGUCCAGACUCCUACGGGAGGCAGCAGUGGGUAAUAUUGCACAAUGGGCGCAAGCCUGAUGCAGCCAUGCCGCUUGUGUGAAGAAGGCCUUCGGGUUGUAAAGCACUUUCAGCGGGGAGGCGUUACCCGCAGAAGAAGCACCGGCUAACUCCGUGCCAGCAGCCGCGGUAAUUC